CACUGGACGCUCGCUUGGGCAGCAGAAGCCAUAGGGCAGGAUGGGAAGGAACGGGAGGGGGCACUCAGGGCUAGGCCGGCAAGGGGCCUGCGCGCUGGCCGUCCUCCUGUUCUGGCUGUGCCUCCCACCGCUGAGCGCACAGCCGUCCAAUCAGAACAACCAGAACCUGGCGAAGGUAUGCGGGAGGAGCAAAGCCACAGAGAAGAUCUUUGGUGGCCAGGCAGCAGGACCAGAACGGUGGCCGUGGCAAGCCAGCCUGGUUUACAGAGGUGGGCACACCUGCGGAGCCACCCUCAUCUCCAGCACCUGGGUACUCUCUGCAGCUCACUGCUUGCAAAGAUGUCCUAGUAUGGGCUGGUGCCCACCUUGGCCCCAGUGAGCCCCUCUAGCUGAAUGCCAUGUCUGUACAUCACCUGAUGCCCAUGUCUGUGUCACAUCUUGCCCUUCAUCUCUCACUCUGAGGACACACCACCUCCAACCUUUACCCCCAACAUGGGUAUGCCUUCCUGGAUGUAGUGGCUGUGUCACAGGCAUGCACGUCACAUUUCAACAGAUAAAUGGAAAUGUUUUCCAGAGUUAGAAUUUUUUAUUAAUAUUAAGACAAUGGAUUUUAUACAUUUCAUAGGAGGUCCAGCUCCAAGAAGAUGAUUCACACUCCCCUGCUCUCCACAAUGUGCCCCUCCACUUCCUAUCUUCUGUCUCUUCAACAAUACUUACACAGUCAUAAUGUUAGUCAACCCACUCUCCAUUCAUAGGCUUAAUUUACAGCAAGCACUCUAUGCUACAGGUGAAAAGAACACAAGACCACAUUUC